UAAGAUUCUGUUAUUUCUGAUACAGUGGUGUUGGGAGAAAUGAUGGAAUGGAAGUACAAUAGUGUCUUCUGUUUAUCGAGUUCUUGUGGUAUAUGAGGCACUGUGCUAAAAAUACAUCAAGCAGAGACUGGCUAGUUGCCUAGCAAGCCCUUCCUCCACUUAAAUACACGAAGCAGCUCUGUUUCUCAGUCUUUCUUGCAUGUGAAUGGAAUAUGUGUACCUUUAAUCUAUGAGAACAUGAAGUGAAUGGUGCCUCAUCUGGGCCUGGCCUGUAACUGUGCAAUUCUGUCUGCUAUCUGAAGGGACUCCAACACAACACUCCAGCUGAAUGGAGGGCUUACUUAGGUCCUUAAGUCACUUGGUGAAGGAGAGCUCUAGAUCAUCAGCCUACUAGAUGGAUGGAAAAAUAUAACAGUGGCCUCUUACAUGGCAAAGAAAAACGAACUGGUACUGCUGACGUCAACACUGCACCCCGAUGGAAAGAUUGACAGCAAAACCUCCUCCAAACUGAAGACCGAGAUGCACAUUGUACCAUAGAGUCAGAAGCUCUUGGAGAAACAGGAGACCAAUGAAAUGUCAAGUGUGUCCUAUGAAAAAGACAGGAAAGCUAAGCAGUCAGCGCAAGCGAUGUGUGUACACAGUAUGUACAAUUGGUAAGUGUGAAGACUGCGUUGGGUGUGACAGUGGAAGCAAAGAUUAUUUUCGUUCUAGAGCUCUGUUGGUAUUUUCACUAUAGUUCGUGUAGAAAUUUAUUUCUGUUAGUUUUUAGACCUUGUGAACAAAAAAACAGUUAAUGUUGAAAAUUCUGAUGCUUUUUUCAUAAGCAACAAAUAUUAAAAAUUCAAUGCUUUUUUAGAUUUUUUUCUGUUAGUCAUUUAAUAUAAAUUGAAACUCAAAAUUAAAAUUAAUAAUUCAACAAUAGAAACGUUUAUAUUAGAAGAAUAGCUGUGGGUUUUGUACACCCUUCAGAAUGUUCCUUUAAAAUUGCCAUGAUACCCCAAAGGAAGAAAUUUCUGACACCUCAGUUACCUACUGAGAAGCAUCCUGUGAGAAGCAUCCUCGAAGGAUUUAGGGCAGGAAAUGGACCAGGCUGAUUUGCUUUUUAAAUAGGAGAGGAAACAAAAUACCUGGUGGCAGGUAGCUAUGGUGACUCACCUAUUUAGUGGCUGAACUGAGACCCUGCUUUCCAGGUUGAAGUUUAGCCCUUCUCAAAGCUUAUAGAUCGGUGAAGGUUUUGAAGCUGUUAGGCCCAUCAGUUAGAAAGGGGCGGAACUACUCCUCCCAGGUAAGAGGCCUGUCUUACUAAUUCCUUUGAACCGGCAGAGCUUGAGCUAAGGGCCCUCUGACCCCUGCAGCCUUCUCAGGAUACUGCUGUUCUUGGCCAGUGCCCAGGGUGGAAGGGCCUGCUGGCCUUGAAAAUAGGAAAUCUAGUUCUAGCUCCAGCUCAGCUCCUGCUAUUUCUGUACCCUUUGACCAGUUCCUUGACUUCUCUUAGCCAUCAGGAAGGUUGCGAUCAUUGUAACCUUGCUGGGUUGUUGGAAGACCAGACAGAUGCAGAAAACUUCUGGCAACUGAUAAAGGCCUCUGCAAUGAAAAGACAUGUGAUCGGUAGAAAUAUCCAGCAGGAAGUGCCUCGUUCUAUCUAGAAGGAGCCGCUCCUUCUCCCAUUGCCUGGGUUUUAGCCUCUCUCUGGACUGUUCCAUGUGCUGAAAUCCUCUGUGACAACCCAGGAUUACCUGGGCCUUUGAUUGUUCUUGGGACAUUUCCCUCCACCAGAAUGAUUUUUUAUCUUAGCAGAAAGGAUAUGGAUCUAGUCUGCUAUCGUUGCUUCAUGAACUUGGGGUGCAAGAGGUUAAGGACAGAACAUAAAUAAAAUUAUCAUGGGUCAUUUUGACAAAUGUGCCAUGCCUGCCAUCCCUCUGUGGCAGCCUUGACUUCUCCAGUUUUUAAGGGUGUUAUUUCCCCUUGCUUCUAAAAUAACAACAGUCUGAACACCCAUCCUGCAAAUACAGGAAGUCCAUCUGUUGUUGGGUUUUUACUCCCAGAGUGAUUCUGGCAGAGUCCUAGCUCGUCUAUUAGUGGUUCAUGACAGUUGAUAUUACUGAGCUAAACCUGCAACACUUCAGUCUGAGGUACUGCAUUAGAUCAAGUAUAAAUACCCAGGACUUCUUCUAGAACCAUAGGCAUAUACUUGCUUAUCUGGACCUGACUGAGAGAGCCCCACCCAGAGCUGUGUGGGUGUCGGGGUGCUCUGUCCUAAAAACAGAUCCCCGUGGUUACUCUGCAGUGCAGAAAUUGCUUGCAGCUGUGCAGCUUGAAGGCUUUCAAGGUCUCUGUUGUCCCCCACUUCUGAUAGCAGCAGCUGUGCUCAGUUGGAAACCCAAGAGUGUGGUUCAAGCUCUGUCUCUCUGUUGUUUGUAACUUGGGGCAAGUCAUGAACUUCCAAGGCCUCAGAUUUCUUAGCUCUAAACUGAACAUAGUACUGCUUCUUCUGAAACAUUAGGGUUGUUGAAAGGAUUAAUGUGAGAAAAUAUUUGUUAAGAAUCCUUUCCAGGCACAGUGGGAUUCAAACAUGCGUCAGAUCCUGGCCUUACCAGGCUCAUUGUUUUAGGGGAUCUGGAUAGGUAACUGACAAUAAAUAACUUUACUAUGGAUGUGAGAAGGCCCAGUUUAUACAAUUGUACACAUGCAAGGAAUUUAUUCUACAGUUGCUGUUUUCCCCGUAUAUUGCGUCUCCCUGCUGCUUACUAUGGACCACAUUUUUCUCCAGGAGCUCACAUCUGGAAGCUUCUCUCUGUCCUCCAGGCCCCUCACAGAAUCCUGGAGUCCUCUUUGGAAGGCCAACGCAUCUACCCUCUUGCACUGCUCCAACACGCUUCUCAAAUAGUACCAUAUUUUGUUUGUCGCAGAAUUAAUGACAGACACAAGAAAUAGUAACUGAGGUCAGCCAGGGGCGGUGCACGCGGGGUGUAGGCGUGUGCCCAGCCCAAGAGUGCAUGGGAGGAGGGCAGGGAAGAGGGAACUCUGCAGUUCUAGGGUGAAGCUGACAGUCUUAUCAUUUAUAAGAAAAUGAAAGCCAGAGAGGAAGAGCUGUCUCAAGACAAUGGCAGGUUCACACCUCACCCCCAGAUUCAUUCUGUGGCCAUCUGACCUUUGGGGACAUAGGAACAAGUCAGCCAACGCUCUUCUCACCUUUCCCCAAACUCUGAAACGAGCCAACAUCUGGGUGGCUGACUGGGGCGUGAUCCCACUAGUGUCUCGGGUGGCCGGUAGCCAGCCCCCUUUGUGUCUGCACACAUCUGCCUCUCGGUCCCAGCCUCCUUUUAUCUCAGCGUGCCAGAGGAGCUCAGGUGGAAAACUACCAGGAUCCGUGAAAGAAAACCAGUAUUUCUUCUGCCCAUCUUUAAAGUUCUUGCAUUUCAUUAGGUCAUUUUUAUACUUUUUAAAACUUUAACAAUGUUGCUUGUUCAAAACUCAUAAAACUUAACAAAUAUUCACAAAUAUAUAGAAUUUUUAUAGCCAUUCUGGCAGCUAUAAAACAGGUGACUCCUGUUUAAUGUUAUAAAUUGGAGAAAUUCUAAAGCUCAUUUUGGAGGGUUGAAGUCAAUAAAUGCUCUGGGAUUCAUGAAAUUCUUAGGGUCACUGCCUGUACCACUUUUGAAGGUUUUCCAUGUGAUUAGUGGGUGCUUGUCCAGCCUUUGGUUCUGGGACGUUCUCCUCGAAUACACACUAAAUGAGAUGCUUCUUCCGGCUCCUGGUCCCAGUCUCUUGCUGAAUAUCAUGUUUUUGCACCUUGAGACUCUCUUCCCUUCCCUCUUCUACUUAAUUAUUCUCAGCCCAAUGUAGUCCUCCUGUAUUAAACUACAGGUCAGCAAUGCAGAUCUUCUGAGGUCCCAAUUUGAUAACAAAGUCCACCGUGGCUACAUAGGCCUGGUGGCCCUUCUCUCUCGUGAGUCCACAGCUCAUAUCAGCAAGCAUCAGGUUAUAUAAUACAGGUUAGGUACCUGGUGCAACCUAGAAAGCACAUAUUCCUCCCUCAGGAUGUUUAGUUUGAAGAUGGGAGAAGGGAAAUCUGACAUGAACUAUCAUGCUAGGUAUUUUGCUAUCCUCUAUGGAUUCUUCUUUGUUUAUUUUACAGGAGAGGAAACUGAGUUUCAGAGGUCAUAGGAUUUUCCCAAGGUUACUCAGUUACUGAUGUGAUGGUUUGGGGGUUUUUUUUUGUUUAUCCAGCACCAGGGAUUGGACCCGAGGAGUGCUGAACUACGGUAUGUCUCCAGCUCAUUCAUUUAUUUAUAUUUUUAAACUUUGAAGCACAGUCUCACAAAGUUGCCCACACUGGUCUCAUACUUGUGAUUCCCCUGCUUCAGCCUCCCAGCUAGCUGGGAUUACAGGUGUGCACUGCUUUGCCCAGAUGAGCGGUGGUUUUUAAGCCUUGGCUGGUCUGACUCCACUCCAUUCCUCCUCCUCUCAGCUUUCAUCUGUGUCUUCCACCGACAAAGAGCAGUGGCAGCUGGGGGCCAGUUGGCAGGCAGACAGGGAAAGAACCAGCUCUGGGUGUUGCGGUGCCUCCUUCUUGCUAGAAGAAGCUCAGACCUCAAGGCAGCGAGAGACCUGUGAGUGUGGAAAUGACUGGAAGCCAUAAGAAAGGGCCUGGCAGGGUUUGCAGGUGGCAGGCUGCCAGCUUCUGAAACAGAGAGACUUUAUCGUCCUGCUCCCCAGGGCUCCUCCCAGUGCCCCCGUUCUAACCAGAGAAAGAUCCCCAAUCAAGAACUGUUACUCUUUACCAGCCAUCAGUUAUCUACCACGGUCCAGGCUUCAUUCUAGGAAGACAAAACAGACUUCUGCCCAGGGGAGUGUUAAUUGUAGUUGGCUGGAACAGACAUCAGUAAUGACAAAAUAAACACAGAGCGUGUCAGAAUGAGAAGUGCUGCAGAAGACAGUAAAGCAGGGCAGGGGCACAGGGCGUCAGAAGGAGGAGCUGUAAUGAAAGAGGAUAGAGGACAAAGUCUAAGUAGUAUUUGAGGAAGGAUAUGAAGGAGGAAGGAGUGAGGCUUGCAGAUCUCCAGAUGGAGACCAUUAUGACAGAACAACAGCAAGUGCAAAGGCCCUGGGGUAGGAGCAUGCCAGGCACAUUUCAGGGGUAGCAAGUCCAGCGUAGGACUGGAGACCAGUAAAUGAGGCUCACCUGGCUAUAGGUCAGUUCCUUCAAGGGAAUAAUGGCUAGUGGCUCACAGAAAGACAGGGGACUUAAAACUGUCACUCCUCCACUUCCCCUGGAGAAUAUUCACUGGCAAAGUGAGGGAAGCAUGGACAUGGGGCUUCUUGCUUCAGUUUGGGUUCUCACCUCAGCAUCUCCAUAAAUUCCCCUCUUCCUCACUGUGAGCUCAUAGCCCGGCUCUUUCCCUCUUCUCCUUUAUUCUCCUCUUCCAUUUUUCCGUUUCAGAUGCUUUCUUCUCCCCCACAUCUGAAGUGUCUGGGGUCAGACCAUGGACACUGGAGAGGAGGGUGAGGGUUGGGGAGGAGAUAAGUCAAGGUGAAUUUGUUUCCUGUGCUGCUGUGACAGAGGACCACAAACUGGGUGGGCUCACAGGUAGGGAGGCUGCAAGUCUGAAUCAGCUUCACUGGACCGAAAGCAAGGGCUGGCAGGCCGCACGCCCUCUGGAACCCCUAGGGGACAGCCCAGGCCUGGCCUCUGUGUCUCGCAGAUUCAUUUUCUCUCUCUCUCUCUCUCUCUCUCUCUCUCUCUCUCUCUCUCUCUGUCUGUCUCUCUCUCUGGUAACAUCCAUUUUCUAAGAGCUUAAUUGUGAUUGCAUUCUGGGCUCACCUGUAAGGAUGCGGGAACAACCGUCCCAUCUCAAGAGUCUAAAUUUAAUCACAGCUGCAAAGACCCUGUUUUUUGGUACAUCUUUUUUUUUUGUACUGGGGAUCGAACUCACAACUGUGUGCAUGCAAGGCAGGCACUUAUGCCGCUGAGCUAAAUCCCCAGCCCUGAAGACCCUGUUUUUAUAGAAGGUAACAUUCACCGAUUCAGAGAAUUUGGAUGUGAGUAUUUAGGAUGCAGGGUACUUUGGUGCUACUAUUGAAGUUGGUCAAAUUUCAAUGGCCAUCUCCAUGUGUAUUUAGUCAUGCAUUUACUCCACAUAUAUUUUUAUUUAAUGAAGUUUAUUGGUGCAAUUUAAGUAUACAUAAUGAUCCCACUCAAUAUAGAGAACUGGUAGCUGUACCUGGCAUGUCUUGAUUACUCUUUAUUGAGCAUUAACUCAAUACCAAGCAAUGCCAAGACACUGGGAGUGCUCUGGAAGGAAAGCAGAGCCCUUCUGAGCUUACAGAUGCAAAGUGGCACUGUGGUGGGAGAUAGGAGAGCCUGGAUGUAAUCAGGCUUUCCAUGGGGAGGAAGGCCCAGGGGAGCUUCCACGAGCAGAUUCUCCUGACCUGGGAUCUGAGGAAUGGAUUGGGGUCUCCAGGCAAAGAGGGAGGGGAAAAGGUUGCAGGCGGAAGAGCCUGGUGGCCAAACUGGAGCAGGACUAGCAGCGGCAGUUGUGCAGGAUUUGAGGAGACUCAGUGUCAGGAGCUGUAUGGGGAUAAGCACGGAGUGCUCCCCUUCUCCAGCACCUGACCAUAACUGUGUCUUCCCCACUCACGAUUCAGGCCUGUCCUUCAAUUCCCUGCCUACUGCGGGAGGUAGUUUAGCAAGGAAACCCCGCUGGUUCAGUGCUGGGGCCAACUUUGGUCAGCAGCAACUUCUUCAGAGCUUCACGUGUGACUGACGUGGUUUGGGGAUUAAAAGGAUGAGGAUAAGCAAAGGUUGAAUCUCAUUUCUGCUACUGCUGGAUAAAUACUACACCAUCUCAUGGCAACGCUGGGCCUCUCCUUGGCUGUUUCUCUUGGGGAGAAGAUUUCACCUCUUUAUGCCUGAGCCGUUUUCCAGGAGCAUCUAACUCCUGGACAUUUCCUACUGAACAGUGCAAGCCUCAGAGAACUGUGUGUCUUGGUGGCAGCAGGGUACUGAGAAUAUUCACAUUGUCUUUGAAGAAACUUCCUUAACCAACUGGCCAUUCUACUCUUGAUGCUCCAGGAUCCCAGCCACAGAGGAGCCAGAUCUCCAUCAAGAGAAGUCCCGCAAAUCCCUGGCUAACAAGCCACAGGUACUAAACUUUUAAAAAAUCACCUAUGUGGGCUGCGUUUAUGGCUCAUGUUAUGCCUAGAAGACAAACGUUGUCUGCGCCAGAUGGGGAAACCGAAUGGUUGAAUCAUUUUCCGGCAUCAGGAUCUUACCGUCUCGGAGAAUUCACAAAUCAAAGUUCAGCCUUUGGCGAGCUGAGAAACAGAUCUCAGACUGAGGUGGAGUUGUCAAGCUCACGUCCUGCUGGCCUGCUGGCUGCUCCCCGGCAGCAUCCUGCACAUCAGGGUUUCCCAGCCCCAGCACCCUGACAUUUUGGUCUGGAUAAUGUUUGUUGUGGGUGUUUGUCGUGUGCAUCUUGCAGUGUUCAGCAGCCUUCUGAUCCCUACUUAUGCACCCCAGCAGCAUCCACCAACAACAAUAUGACAACCGAAACUAUCUCUGGACACUGCCAAAGGUGCCUGGUUGAGAACUGACAAUUUGUGUAGACAACAUUUCUUUCCCGUUUCAGCAUAGAGCUUACAAGCACUAUGGGAAUUCAAGGGGGUGAUAAACAGCUUUUCCUGCCCUAUAGGGUUACCUAGCUGAGUGUUGGUGUGAGAGGGCAGGAGACACACCUGAUGUAAAAUCCAUCCCUGCGUCUUGUGUAUGGAGUAUGGUUCAGGCGCCAAGGGUGGAUUCAGACUUAAAUUCAAAUUCUCCUUCUCUCACUGAGUCAUUUAAACUCUCCUGGCCUCAGUUUGUUCAUCUGUGAAUAGGAAUAGCUGGUAUCCAGGUGCAAAGAUGAAAUAAGAUAGUGAAAGGCAAGUGCUCAUCGCAGAAGUCAGGCAUGUUCCCUGCUCCUUGGGGUCUGGGGAAGGUGAGUCCGAUCCCUGCACCCUAGGUGUGAGGAAUUUCCAGGAAGACACAUAAGCUCACUCUGCUUUUACAUCUGAGUUUCUGUUUCCAAACAUAUUUUCUGUUCUCCUCCAUGAGUGUCAGUCUCAGUUCUUUCUUUGAUUUCCGCCCAAACCAAUACAGAAACCAAAUUAAAAAGUAAAAACUCCCUUGCAUAAAAAUCUAUGUAUAAACCGGGGGUUUAGCUCAGUGGCAUAAGCGUCUGCCUGGCAAGUGCAAGGUCGUGAGUUCAAUCUCCGGUCCAAAAAAAAAAAAAAAUCCAUGUGUAAGAUUAGCUUUCCAUCACUGUGACAAAAACACCUGAGAAAGUCAAUUUAAAGAAGGAAAGGUUUGUUUUCAUGAUAGUUUCAGUCUAUGCUUGGGCAGCUCCAUUGCUAUAGGUCUGUGGCAAGCUAGAAACACCAUGACCAAAGGGCAUGACAGAAGAAAGCGGCUCACCUCCUGGUGGUCAGGGAGCAGACAGCAGGAAGAGAGCUGGAUGUAGCCCAGGGACUGGAUAGAGUCCCCGAGGCCACACCCCCAUCAUCCACCUCCUUACAUUAGGGCCCACCUUCUGCUGUCAUCACCUUCCAAAACACCAUCAAUUUACCUUAUCUUGGCAGUGAACAGGAGGUCUAAACUCAGCAAUGGACUAAACCACCAAUCAGGUCACAGCCCUCGUGGUCCAAUCAUUUCCCAGAAGUCCCUCAGCUCCGAACAUAUGAGGCCUUUGGGAGGACCCUAGAUUUAAAUCACAGUGAUGAUCAAUUCACUGAAAAUGAAGGCCUCAGAAGAGACGCCACACUGUGCCUCUCGCUGAACACAUAACUGGAUAUGCACAGUGACAUUGCUGUCUUUAAAGUCUUGUCAGUCCCCUCGCUGUGGGAGUCUCUGGCUGAUGCUUCUUCCCGAAGGUGAAGGGCUGCUUCUCUGUCCCACUGUCCGUCUCUCUCUUCCUCCACCCUUACUCUUUACCUCCCUCUAAAUCCUUCUCCCCAUUCAGUGCUGGCUCGCUUCAUCAUCCUAGAUCCUCAAACUCAUGUUUUAGAGGUGUCUCCCUCCUUCCCUUCCCCAUUUUCCAGCUAUUUCCUAUCACUUUAUUUUUUGUCUUUAUAAAAUGGGCCACUAUGGAAACCAUCCAUUGAUCAACUCGCCCAGGGGUCUCUUGCCUCCCUCCCUCCCCUAGAACGUAAGCUCUUUAGAGUAGGACUCUCGUCCACCUGCACACCGCAGUAUCUUGCACCCUGACCUGACCUGGGCUGCCCAGGAGCCAGUCAGCUCGCUGUAAGGUUAGGUCUGAAAAUGGCAUUGCGUUCGCCUAAGCGCCUCCAUAUCUUGGCAGAGAAUAGGAUGUCUCAGACUCAGCUUUAAGUUACCUACCACAAAGAAGAUCCCCCCUGCCAUCGCCCUCUCUAACUCCAGACCCACAGUGAGUGGUGGUGGUUGGCAUUUGGGGGAAUGAGGAGACCGGAGUGUGGUCCAGUGUAGUACGUGAUAUAGAGAAGGAAGAGAGGAUGCACAUCUCCAGGUAACGCUAGGAAACCUGUUCCCCCUCCAGAGUCUUCAGAGACUUGGAGAGUGACCUUAGCUCUUCACAUACUGGGCUGGGAAGCACAGGGCAAGCUCAGCUGGAUACCUGAGGGACAGAUACUCAAAAUGCUGACAUGUGAAUGACAUUUUUUCUAAAGAAAAUGCUCAGGACUAAGGCAACCCAUUGGGAAUGGGGACUUGGAAGAGGUGGUUCCUCUGUACCGAGCAGCUGAGAGCUGGGGUUACAGCUUCCAUAUUCCCAGCAUGGAGGAAUCUGAGGGGGGCUAAGGUGGCAGAGGUGAAGUGAGCUGAGAGCCUGUCCCAGGCUGUCGCCAGGUGGCGUCCUAAGCCAAGGCCUGGAAGGCUUCAGGCCCUUAGAAGGAGCUUGUUAACAAGCCACUUCCCAGGAAAUGACUCACCCGGGUGACUGCAUCAGUUGAGCGUUCGUUAGCAUGGGUGCCUAAUGAUCUAGGAGGCCUGCAUCACCUCACUAUAGCUGCAGUGUUCUCGGGGAGAUAGGUGCAGCUGGGGUGGUCUUCUCAACUCGUUCAUGUGUUCAUUCGCUAGCCAUUCAUCAACAUUCUGAGGAGCAGGCCCCGUAUCCUGUCCAGAGGCACACUGUAAACAUUUCCUCCAAGAGACGUCUGUGCUAUUCCCUCUUGAGUUUGAGCAAAGCCGUGGGAGGAUAAAAAGGCAUAAAAAUGGUGAGUAAAGAGGACACAGUGGACAACACCCCAACCCAGGCAGGCCGGCUCACACCACAGUUCUGUCUCAUUCUCAACUUUGAAACUGCUGCAUUUAUUAGCUAUACUAUGUCUCUGGCAUUUAUGACAAACUGCCCACUAGUCUGAUUAGGUUUGCUAAGCACAUACCUUAUCUCCCUGCUGCUAACCGGUGACACAUGCUGGUCAUAUCUUGUUCAUCACCAUUAUCUCAUCAACUUCCCACCCCAGCACCUGCUUCCCCAGCACUCAGCGUGGAACUGUGAAUACAGACAAGCUCAGUGAUGAUCUCAGGGUGUGAUAAAACUGUGGGCCAUCUGCAGUGAGGAUGUGGGCCCUGCCUGGCAAGCCCUGAAAGUCACAGAUAUCAAUAACUGUGUCAGAGGCUCCUGGAGGGGGAGGUACAUUGGCUGGACACGAGCUUAAUGAGCAGCUCUCCUUCUAAACCAUGUGUCAGGCAGCAGGCAGCCUCACAGCAUUCCUGGGCUUCCACAUCUCAGAUGAAUAUAGAUUACUUUAUCCUAACAAUGUUGUCCCCACUCCACAAGGACUUAACACUCAAUUCCUAUUGGUUCAAAAUCUUGUGUUAGAAAGAUACAAGGCGGUGUUAUUCCCUGAGCGCAAAAAUAAGUAAUUACAUUCAUCAUUCAUACAUUCAUGCAAGCGUACAUUGAUUCAUUUAUUGAGCAUCUAUUGUGUGGUGUGCAGCCUCGUAGUCUAGGCAAUGAGAUGCAAUGGUGAGCUGAAACAGAUGCCGCUCCUGUCCUGGCUGAGUUUAAAAAUCUUGGCAACAGCAAUCAAAUUAUCAGCUACAAAUACGAACUUACUGCUGUGAUAAAUGCUCCACAGGAGAGGGAUAAGGUGGCAGGAAAGCAUGUCAUAGGAAGAUUUAGCCAGCAAAGAAGCCCUUCCUUCAGCCCACAAAGGUAGGAGAACAGUGUGGCUGUGGAUGGUCUGAGCAAAAGCAGACCUGGUCUGAGGUCACCUGCUUCCCCAUGGAUAAAUGUCCCCUGAAAGGUGGAUUGACUCACAACCUUGUUUUUGAGCUUUGGGGAUAUCACAACCUGGGGGCAGCCAGACAACAGAGCUCUACCACAGUCUGAGUUUGAUCAAGUAGCAGUGUAUUUGUUCAGGACUCUCUGAUUAUCUGUUCUAUCAUGGAAAGAGCCCCUGAAAAUAGGACAUGAGAGUUUUAGUCAGGAUCAGCAACCUGUCCCCGUUUCCCCAGGACUUUCCUAGUUUUAGUACUGAAAGUCCCAAGUUCUGGGAUUGUCCUGGUAUUAAAACCAAAAGUCCCACUUCCUAGGAACCCCCUUAGUCCUGGGCAACCCCAGGCAGUCACCACUUCUAGUCUCUGCCCACUGUUGCUUCUCUGCUUCCUCCUCUGUAAGAUGAAAUUAGAUUAGCACAGGGGUUCUCAAACUCGGCUGCUAAUUACAGCCACUGAGGAGGCUCUUAAAAGUUAGCAGUGCACAGGCGCUCCCUGCAGCAGUUUCACUGGGGUGCAGUUUAAAACUUCCCGGGUGGUGCUACGUGGGGCCGGGACUGAGAGCCACUGUGUCCCUCUUGAUACCUCUGGUUCUCAUCUAGAGUGAGUUGGUAUUUAUAGGCUUGCUAGUUCAUUUACUGCCGGGCUCCUACGCUGGCCAUGUCAUCCAUCGUGUUCCAGCAGGUGACGGUGAGUGACACACUGUAGACUCCUCUUUUCCCUCCCGUUAUCUUUCUUGCUCUUUUAUUCUUUCGAGCUUUGACUGCCUGAGCGCCUAGCACUCAUCACAUCCAGCCAUGCUCACUACACCUGGAUCAGUCAAUGACAUUUCCCUUUGUCUCACCUCUGUCCUGGGCUCUCCUUCACCAACCCCUCGGACCCCUCCCUAAAGAUGCUGAAAGAGGUCCCUGGCCACCAAGCUGAGUGCUGUUCGAGGAGUCUCUCCCUCUCUUCCGUGUAUGCUCCUCCCAGUUAGGUUCUGCGUUUAACUUCCAGGGGCCACUAUGUUGGACUCACAGGCUGGUAUAUAUCUCCGUGCUCCACACGCUAGCACUGGGUGCUGGCACAGUCCAUGGCAGGCUCCUACUCUAUCUGAUAUUCUGGGCGAUCGCCUCGGUGCUCAGUGCUGUGUGUGAGACUAUUCUUAGUGCUGUGUUGAUUCCUGCCACCAAAGCCCCUAGCCAAGAAUGGCAGCCUCCUUUACAUGUGACACUUUCAUCCAUUCAAUUAUCCACGUAAAUUCUUUGGCGUGAUCAUCAUUCCUCCCAUGCAAGCUGUCAGCAACAUAUCCACUACGUCCAACCCCUUCACUCCUAACCUAGAUAAUGACGGAAACCUCCAAGCCAGGCUUCUGCUCUUCUCUGAUUGAAGUCACUAAGAGUGGUGUUAAAAAUUAAUUAGUUAUGUCACCAAACUAACUCAUCAAAUCAUCAUAUUAAAAAGAAAAAAAAUGAUCAUUUUGGUGUGUGCAGAAAAAGAUUAACACAUUUUAAAUUUUCAUUUCUGAUUAAAAAUUCUUGGAAAACAGAAUAUUCACAACUUGAUAAGGGGCUUCCAUGAAAAAUAUACAGCUAAGAUAAUGAUAAAAGUUUGAAUUCUUUCUCCUAAAGAUCAAUGCAAGGCAAAGUGUCUGCUUGCAUUGUUUUUAUUCAACAUGGAACAACGAAAUAAGGAGGAAAAAAAUAUUAGGACCCAUAAAACAUUUUAUUAACAAGCCAUAACAAUCUACAUGUAAAAGAUCAACAAGGAACUUAACAUGUGUUUUAACAAGGCUAUGGUAUCUGAAAUUAAUAUACAAUACCCAAAUGUAUUUCUAAGAAAUUAGCAAUUUAAAAUAAAAAUGAAAAAUACUAUCUACAAUAACCAACAAACAUAAACUUCCUGAAGAUAAAUUUAACAAAAUAUAUGGGAGACCCAUAUACUAGAAACUAGAAAAAUUAAAGGAAGAAUUAAACAAAUGGAGAGAUAUCCUGUGUCCUUGGAUCAAAAGACUCAAUAUUGUUGAGGUCAUCCCUAUUCAAAUCCACAUAUAAUUUUAAUGCAGUCCUAAAGUUUUAGAAAAUUUCAUUUUGUAGACACUGAAAAGCCCAUUUUACAAUUUAUAUGAAAAUACAAAGGCCUUAGCAUAGUAAAAACAAGUUUAAAAAUACAAAAAAGAAUCUGAGGACUAAUACAGUGACCUAUUUCAAGCUUACAGUAAAACUGUCAGCCAACUGAGAAGUGUUAGCAGAUAGACAGGUACACAGAACAAUGAACCAAAAUAGAACACAGAAAUAGACCUACGUUUAUAUAGCCAACUGAUGCUUGAAAAAAAUGCCUGGAUAGUCCAAUGGGGAAAAGUAUUCUUUUUAACAAAUGAUAUCAGAGUAACUCAAAAUACCCAAUUAAAAAAUGACAUUGGCCCUUACUUCACACUAUAUAUAAAUGUUAACUUGAAACAGAUCAUAAAUCUAAAUGUAACAGUUAAAACUAGGAAGAAAUCUAGUGGGAAAUCUUUUAGUUAGGCAUAGAGUUUUAGAUAAAUCAUGAUAAACAUGAAUGAUAAAAGAAAAACUGAUUUCUUAGAUUGCUGUAAAAAUAAAGAACUUUUCAGUUAAAAAUGAAAAAUCAUAAAUUGGGAGAAAAUAUUUGAUAAAUGUGCAUCUAAGAAUUACAAAAAGUAUUCUGAAUACAAAAAAGUCUUACAAUUCAGUAAUAAAGAGGGAGAUAACUCAAAAGAGGAAGAGGGAAAAUUUUGAAGCAAUAGUUCACCAAAGAUAUGAAAAUGGCCAAUAAGUUCAAUGAAGAUGCUGUAUAUCAUUAAAUGUCAGAGCAAUGCACAUUGAAACCACAUUGAAAUAUCAUUACACACCCACUGGAAUAGUUAAAAUUCAGAAAGGAUGAUAAUAUCAAGUGCUGGCUAAGAUGUCAAGCAACUGGUGGGUAUGCAAAUAGUACAGCCACCUUGGAAAACUGUCCAGUACUUCUUAAAAGUUAAACAUACAUUCAUCACAUGACCGAGCAAUCCCCCUCCUUGGUAUUUACCUAAAAGAAAUGAGAACAUAAAUCCUUGAAGAAAACAUGUCAAUAUGCAUAAAAGCUUUAUUCUUAACAGCUCCAAACUGGAAAUAAAUGUCAAUCCAGCCAUAAAGGGAAAACCAAAUUGUGGCAUAGUCAUACAAUGGGAUGUUAAUAGCAACAAGCAAGAAACAAACUACUGCUAAAUACUAACAUGAAUUAAUCUCAAAAACAAUGUGUCCUCUGAAUAAAGCCAUGCACGGGAGAGUACAUAUUUAAAUGCAUUAUAGAGCAUUCUACAAUUAGAAAAAAAUGAAUUCAUACUGAAAAUGAGAACAGAAGGCUGAGUGAGGAAAGACUGGAGAGCUUUUUGGAGAGGUAGAAAUAUUGUAAUUUUGAUUGCAGUGCUGUCCAUCUCUGUCUACACAGAGGAAGUAUUUGUCAACGGUCACGGCUCGGGGAGGAAUAUGGUGGAGAAAGGGAGAGUAACAGCUUAACGAGUAGGGUGUUUCUCUGAGAAACGAUGAAGAUGUUCCCAAAUUGGUUGUGGUGAUGGUUAUACCGCUGUGUGAACAUCCUAAACAUCAUUCACUGUUCGCUCUAAAUAGGUUAAUUUUAGGAUACCCGAGUUCUAGCUCAAUAAAACUACUAAAGAUUUUUGGUAGAAUGAAUGUGUGAGUGUGCUUCUUGUGAUCACAUCUUGGCUCGUAAGAAGGAAAAUCAGGCAGGACACGCCCCAGGAGCUGGGUACAGGGCCUGGAAGUGCACAGGUGCUAUCUGGUGGCUCAUAUUGUCUGUGCACGCUCCCCCAAACCCAGGCUCCAGCGUGCGGCCUCCGGAUGCCCUGGAAGGGGUCCUGAGGGUAGUCCAGGAGGAUGAUUUCCUCCUAG